rnacentral:rRNA from 1 species
AUACAUAAGUCUCGAGCGUUACCCGGAAUCAUUGGGUGUAAAGGGUCCGUAGGCGGAUUAAAAAGUUGGAUAUUAAAGACCGAAGCUCAACUUCGUGUUUGUCUCCAAAACUCUUAAUCUAGAAUUAGUGAGAGGUAAGCGGAAUUCUAAGUGUAGGGGUGCAAUCCGUAGAUACUUAGAGGAACACCGAAAGCGAAGGCAGCUUACUGGAACUAUAUUGACGCUGAGGGACGAAAGCGUGGGUAGCGAAAAGUAUUAGAAACCCUAGUAGUCC